rnacentral:lncRNA from 1 species
GAGGGAGUAAUAAAUAAAUAAAUAUUAGUUAAUAAUAUUAAUAAACAAAUAAAGCAUAAAAAUAUUUUACAACACCAAAAUAAAUUAUUUGAAGUAAUUUACACAGACAAAUAAUAAGUUUCAAAAUAAAUGAAAAUAAUAUAUUUAUUGUAUGGUUUAGUGAGCCGUUUAUGCUAUACAAAUGCGGAUAUUAUCAGAUAUCCAUCCACAUCAACAUUUAUUUCGAAUACGAAUUCGGAUAAUGAAUAAAUGAAUUCGGAUGUAUCCACUUGAGGUAACACAUUAGAAAUGAA